rnacentral:tRNA from 1 species
GCCUCGGUAGUCUAAUUGGCUAGGAUAUUUGUAUGUAAAGCAAGCGAUCCAGGUUCAACUCCCGGUCGAGAUA